rnacentral:rRNA from 1 species
CGGACGGGUGAGUAACGCGUGAGAAUCUAGCUUCAGGUUCGGGACAACAUUGGGAAACCGAUGCUAAUACCGGAUGUGCCGAGAGGUGAAAGAUUUAUCGCCUGAGAAUGAGCUCGCGGCCGAUUAGUUAGUUGGUGGGGUAAAGGCCUACCAAGACGGCGAUCGGUAGCUGGUCUGAGAGGAUGACCAGCCACACUGGGACUGAGACACGGCCCAGACUCCUACGGGAGGCAGCAGUGGGGAAUUUUCCGCAAUGGGCGCAAGCCUGACGGAGCAAGACCGCGUGGGGGAAGAAGGCCCUUGGGUUGUAAACCCCUUUUCUCAGGGAAGAAGUGCUGACGGUACCUGAGGAAUCAGCUUCGGCUAACUCCGUGCCAGCAGCCGCGGUAAUACGGAGGAGGCAAGCGUUAUCCGGAAUUAUUGGGCGUAAAGCGUCCGCAGGUGGUGGGGCAAGUCGGCGGUUAAAGACUGGGGCUUAACUCCAGAAAGGCCGUGGAAACUGCACCACUAGAGGGCAGUAGGGGUAGAGGGAAUUCCCGGUGUAGCGGUGAAAUGCGUAGAGCUCGGGAAGAACACCAGUGGCGAAAGCGCUCUACUGGACUGCUACUGACACUCAGGGACGAAAGCUAGGGGAGCGAAUGGGAUUAGAUACCCCAGUAGUC